rnacentral:lncRNA from 1 species
UGGAGGUUAAGUAAGUACACUUAAUGUUCUUGCAGAAUCUACAUGGCAGCUGAUAACUGUCUUACUGUUCUACUGCUGUGAGGAGACACCAUGGUUAAUAAAACUUAUAGAAGAAAGCAUUUAACUGGGGGUCUACUUACAGUUCCGGAGUUAGCUCGUGAUCAUCAUGGCAGGGAGCAUGGGGGCACAUCUGUGCUACACACACACAGGAAUAACACUAACAUACAUAAAAUUUUAAAAUGCUAAAAAAAAAAUUUUUAAGUUCUUGGAAAAAUGACUUUUAAAAGUAUUUAUUUAUGUUUAACCAGAAAUGAACAUAGCAUUUAUAUGCUUCAGUGCUUACUGAGGAAUCUGUAUAUAGAAAAAGUUCAAAGUACUUUUAACAAUACAUAAAUGCUUAGUUAUAGUUCGGACAUGUAAAAAGACACUGUGAAGUCAAUAGAAACAUUUUAAAUAAUAUUUAAUAACAUGAAAGAAUCCUGAUGCUACAUCAUCGUUCUAAAGAAUCAAAGAGGACUGGAGGCGCAGUCAGUUGGUACAAUGCUGGUAUGGCAUUCAGGCUCCAGCCCCACAUAACCUGGGUGCUUAGUUCAUCCUUUAAUCCCAGCCUUUGAAGGCUGGGGACAGGAGAAUCAGAAAUGUAGACAUCCUUGGCUACAUAGCGAGGUAAAGUCCAUCCUGGGGACCAAACAAGUUGGCUCAGCAAGUAAAGGCGCUUGCUUCCAAGCCUAUUAUAUUGACCCGAGUUCAAUCCCUGGAACCCACAUGGUAGAAGAAAAGAACUGUCUCCUGGGGAUUAUUCUGUGACCUCCACACAUGUGCUAUGGCGUGUGAACAUACACAUUCACACAGACACAAAUUAAUAUGGGGGGAAAAGGGAAAAGGCAUCCAAAGCUUACAAACAAGCUGCAGCCAUGUAAGUCUGCCCACUUUUCUGAAUUAUUCAGAAAACGGAGCUUUUCUUUUUCUUCUACCUCUUUUCUAAGUGUGGUUUCCUAACCCUGUGGGCUCACUCUUUCUCUAGAACCUCCCUUCUACCAUGUGGCUGCUUCUCUGCUGCAUGUCUGACCUUCAUGCUGGCUUACAAGGCAUGGAUUUUCCCUUCUCUCCUCCACCUUCACCCUCUGAGCAGCAACUGAGGCUCACAUCUUGCCUGCUCUGGGAGGGUUUUCAUUUAAACACUAAUGAAAUUGUCCUCAAGUUUCCAUUUGCAUCCACCCAUAAAUUCUUUUAUUAAUGAGACUAAGAACCCUAAAGGGAAUCCUCAUUUCCCCGGUAUUAUCUGGUGACCACUAAAGGACACCAAAACCUCAGUAACAUUUGGAAGCAACAGACCAGUUAGUACUGAAAUGUCUCUGAGGAAAGACAACAGCAGAAGCUCAAGAAAUUUUUGAUAACGUGAGCUGGAGAGAGGGCACUGUUAGUUAAGAGCAUACUUGAUGCUCUUACAGAGGACCAGUUUCAAUUCCCAGCACCCCCUGUAACUAUUCCCAAGAGAAUACAAUACCUUUUAUGACUUCCUCACCACUACACCAAAAAUGGUACAUUUAUAUAGACAUGCAAAACACUCAUACACAUAAAAUUAAAACAAAUUUAAAAAAUUUUCGAUAAUAUAAAAUCAUAGUGCUCAUUUGUAGGCCAUAGGAAUUAACAAGUUACAAUUCUGCUUUUUUUUAAAUUCUCUUUUUUAUUAAUUUUUAUUUUAUGCACAUUGGUGUUGGUGUCCCCAGGAACUGGAGUUAGUUACAGACAGCUGUGAGCUGUCAUGUGGGUGCUGGGAAUUGAACCAGGGUCCUCUGGAAGAGUAGUCGGUGCCCUUAACCACUGAGCCAUUUCUCCAGCCCCCACAAUUCUGCUAUCUUAACUCUCUGAAUACCUCACCAAACUUCAAAUAAAGAUCAUAAAAAUAUGAGCACAUCAUCACCAGAGGUAAAAUAAUUUACAGACUUAUUAUCACAUUGCCCUUGUUACUUUCUAGUCCUGUGAUAAACACCGUGAUCCAGGCAACUUACGGAAGAAGUCUAUUUGGGCUUACAGUUCCAAAGGGUUAAAGUCCACAGUGGUUGAGCCAAGCCUCAGUGGCAAGAGCUGGGAGCUGAAGGCUCACAUCUUGAAUCACAAGCACAAAGCAGAAAGGAAACUGGAUGUAGCACCAGGCCUUAAGCUCUGAAUGCCUGCUCCCAGUGACACACGUCCUCCAAUAAGCCCACCCUCCUAAACCUUCCCAAGCAGUGUCCACCAGCUGGGGGCCAAGCAUCAAAUGCCAGGACUAUAGCAGACAUCUCAUUAAAACUACCACACACACAACAACUAAGAGAGGCAAGAUAAGGCCAAGCACCAACAUUCUGAGAAAGCGGAGAGCCGUGUUCCUGGGCCUGCUGCUGCUAACAGUCUCCCUUAACAGUUUGGGACUCUGAAGAUGUUUCAUUCGAAGAGAACAGAACCCCUGACUCCCAAGCUCAGGCUGCAGCACUUUGUUCCGAGUCUGGAGUGACACCUACCAAAGCUGGUUGUGCUAUCAUUGUUCCUUUGGAUUUCAGACUUGUUACGUAAUUUUUGUUUUUCAUUUUAGAAAAUACUGACUUGGUUAAUUAACUUAUUUCAAAUUAAUAUCAUAAUUGUAUGUUAAUAAAGAACACACACAGGGCAGAGAUGAUGGCUUGGUGGUUAAGAGCACUAGAGCCUUUUAUAGAGGACUGGAGUCCAUUCCCAGACACACACAGGGCAGAGAUGAUGGCUUGGUGGUUAAGAGCACUAGAGGCUUUUAUAGAGGACUGGAGUCCAUUCCCAGUACCCACAUGUGGCUCACAACCUUUUACAACUUCAGUACCAGGGUCCACAAUGCCCUCUUCUGGCUUCUGCAGGCACUAGACACAUGUGGUGCAGAGACACUCAUGCAGGCAAACACUCAUAAAGUAAAAAUAAGCCAGGUGGUGGUGGCACACACCUUUAGUACCAGCACUUAGGAGGCACAGGUAGGCAGAUCUCUGAGUUCCAGGACAGCCUGGUCUACAGAGUGAGUUCUAGGAGAGCCAGGGCUACAUAGAGAAACGCUGUCUUAAAAAAAAAAAAGACCAAAACAAAGUAAAACAAAAAAACAAAAAAAACAUACAUUUAAAAAAAUGAAGAGUAAAGCUUUGUCCAUGCUAGAUAAACAUUCUCUCACUACACUACACCCCUAGACAACAUGUACUAUUUUAACAGACUCCUCCAAUGUUGAAAGGGUUAAGCCCCAUAUGGGCAUCCUCUUAAUCAGCCAAGUUGUUUACUUGGUUGCUGUUUUAGUUUCAUUUUUAUUAACAUAUAUUAAUAUGUUAAUAACAAAACAGAGGAUUUCACGUGAAUAUUUUCAUUCAUGUAUAUAAUAUACUUGGACCACAUUCACCCCCAUGAACCCUCUCACUCCUGCUGAUCUUCUUUUCAACCAGUCUUCCCCCUACUUUCCCCUUGGUGAAUCAAUGAGCUCAAUCAGGGUUAUUAUAGGAACAGGACAACUUACCAGUAGCUAUACUACUAGAGCAAGAGUCUCUAACUUCCCCCAGGUCUCACUAAUUGUUCAUAGAUCCUCAAGGAAGGGUGGUGCCUUUUGAGACCCUCUCCCUUAGCAACCCUUAAACUGCCUAUAAGUCCUCAAAGGACUAGCAGGACCUCAUCAGAUUCUCCCUGCUCUGUAACAACGUCGGCGGGCUAAAUCUUAUGCAGGUAACCAGAGCUGCUGAAGUCAGAGAGGGCCACAGCCACAUCAUGCCUGGAAAACAGUACUCCACACCACUGCACCCCUUCCUCUGGCUCUUACAUUCUUUCCGCCCCUCUUCCGCAAUGUUCCCUGAGCCUUGGAGGAGGUGACACAGAUGUCCCAUUUAGGGCUGAGCAUACCAAAGAGUCUCUGAUUCUUGACCAGUUACGUGUGAGCCUCUUCGCUAACUGCUGCCCAGAGCAAAGAGAAGCUUCUCUGUGAAAAGCAAGCCACAGCACUGCUCUAUGGACAUGAACACAAACACAUGAAAAGCAUUUAAUGAACAUAUCGUAUUCAAACAUCAGAAGUAACUCCCCCCACUCGUGCCUAUGACCUCCUCUGCCUUGAGCUUUUGAUCGGGUUUAUAGUAUAGAUGUGAACUCCCUUCUGUGGAGUGGGUCUAGAAUCCAAGCAGAAAGUGGAAGGAAGCCUGCAGAAUCCUUUCCCAGUUUCAGACUUCAAAGGAUAAAAGACUUUGAUGCUGAAAAUACAGUCUACUUCAAAGGAGACAACUUUAAAGUGGGAUAAAGUGAGGAACUUUGGCACAGGAUAGAUUUCCUAUUUCUUUAAAUACCCAAGCAUAUUGUAGUGUUGGUCUCUGGCCUGCCUUGGAUGUCCUUCCUAGCUUUGUAAACUGGGAAACACCUAUCCUAUUCCAAGUCUCAGUUCAAGUAACUCCCUUCCCAUCUCUCCUCAAGACAUCAUCAGUCCUGACAGGCCUCCUGCCUUAGCACCUCAUCCCAUACUCGGCACUUAGUUCCCAGGGCUAUCUUGCUCCUUCAGACCAUGAUCCACCCAAUGUAGGAACUAAUGAAAAUAUUUCCUACAAGUUAUAAGUAACUUUGAUAAGGACAUACAUAUAAGAAACACUGAAAUGAUCGCUCUAACCUAAAAAGGGAAGAAAGAGGAAUUGUCAUACCGGCCUUGCAGGCUUUCACCAGCCUAGACUCGGCCACUCGGGGGUACAUGUAGCUCUCCUGCCAUUCUCUCCACCCAAUCCCAUUUUCUGGCUGGGAAUCUGACCUUUCUAUUGGAUACUACCUGCUUUAUGACAUCAUUCUCCCUCUAACCCUAUCAGCGUUUGUUAGAACUUUGGGAGUUUCUCAUAGUUGUCCAUAAACAAAUAUGGAUCAUCCCAAGUGACCAAGGACCAGUGACCAGUCUCUCAUAUUGGACACACAUGCUAUUUAGCUUCAGCAACAGACAAACCAUAUUACUGUAUGGUUUGUAUCUGUGACUGACACUACUGGUGUCAGGAGAUACCUGUCUUCAAACAUGAUGGAACUCGAAACAACAGAUUUUUCCCGAUGUGGCUGUGUUCUGAAGGCAGAAAUCUGACUCCGAAGCUUUUGGUCCUGAUGCCUGACCAUGGAAAUAUCACCCUUCCACCCAAAGACACAGUAACCAUCCUUCCCCCUUCCCCAGCUUGAGAAUGCAGUGGAAUUCAAUGUUCCACCCUGUCAGUACCUGGAGUUCAAGUCAUCUACAAGGCAUCCGUUUACUCUGAAGAAAGCAACAUUGAACAUGCCUUUAUCCUCUAUAGCAAGUACAUCAAGUCCUUCAUAGAGCAAAGUCCCCAGAUAUCGGGAUUACAAAUCAGCUGUCAUUCCUGAGAAGACACAGUCAAGAAAUUAAAGAACUCACUUUCCAAGCAGAAGAACCAGAAGCAGUUUAGAUACACACUCAAGAAUGAGAAAAAUAUAAAGAGAAGAAGGGCUGAAUUUUCCCAGAACAUGGCCACCCAGCAGGAGCUGGGGAAAGAGCAAAAGCUUCACAAGUUAGAACAAAAACAGUUCCAUGCCUUUGAGGAGAUGAUCCAGAACCAGGAGCUGGAAAAAGAGUGACUAAAAAUUGUACAAGAGCUUAGCAAGAUAGAUCCAGACCCAGAGGGCCACUUGGGCCUGAUUUAGAAAAGCCUCGGAUGUGCAUUCACAACCUGGGUGCUAUCCACAGGCUUCAGACUGCAACAAAGCCGUAAGGCUAGCUGAGUCACCAGUGGUAGCCAGGUCUUUCAGACCUGGAGUGCUUGCUGAGCAACACAACAAUGUUCUGUGGGAAACUGAUGAGGGAUGGAUUUCCCCAGUUCACCAAUGCUAACACUGCCCGUGACAUAGAAACAUGUGGAGUACUCUGUGGGAAACUGUUGAGGGAUGAGUUUACCAUUAUACACGUUAUCAUCCCAGACAAAUGCUGGGUCUGAUUAUUGCAACACAGAGAAUGAAGAAGACAUUUUCUUCCUCCAAGAUGAACUAACUAGGUGUGCCCCUCCUUGGGCAGAUUCACACUCCCCUCGCACAGUCUUUCUUUCCAGUGUAGACCUACACAUUCACUGCUCUUACCAGAUGGUGGUGCCAGGAUCACCAGCUACUGUCUGCUUGCUCCCCCAGGUUCAAGGAAAGAAGCUAUCCAAACCAACUGCUCAUAGACAACAACAACAAAACAUAACUGUUAAAAGUCACACUACAUGGUGACUGUCACAGAUUAGGGCCAACCUCCUAAGAGCUACAAACCCAAAUCGGUUUACUAUUGGCCUUGGACUUAAGCUUUCCAGAAAGAUUUGGAAACUUUUUCAGAGAAGACAGAAAGGGGCAAUGGGAGAGAAAGACUGAUUUUUUUUUUUUUUUUUUGUUAUUUGUUUGGAAACAAAUCAUUGAAUAUAUUUUUAAGACAAACGUGAAAGAAACCUAUCACACUAAGCAACUAACUCAAAAAUUAGGUGGAUUAGAGAAUAUCUCUCUGCCCUUCUCCAUUCAUCUCUUACCCAUCCCCCUCCACCCGCCAGCUCAUAGCAGCAUCCGUGCAGCAAUCUGAAAGCCAUUUAGAAAUGGCUUGUGGCAUAGUUACUGGGACAACUGUUAGAGACAAGUUGGGAUGAGUGGUUGGUGGCCCAGUUUUGUCAGCUCACUAUUCCUGGUAGCCCAGGGUGUCAGAAAUUGGCUCUGUCAUUGAAAAAAAGACCCCACCCCACUAAACAGCAAACUGUGGAUUAUCCCUGGCUCUUCCCCAUACCCUGUCAUCACUGUUACAUGUCUGUUGCUUUAACAAAGCUGUCACUGUUCUCUGUGAUUUGUGCUUAUAUGUUAAGACCCUGAACUUAACCACUAGCUCAUGUCUAUUUAAACUCAGCCCCUCUGGUACGAUAGUGUGUCUUUGCUGUUCUGGGUUUUUUAGCUUUUGGCAGAGAUCCAGGUAUCAAUUAGGACCUUCCCAACUUCAGCAAGUCAUGGGAUCUCACAUGCCUCCUCCUGGUGGACAGAAGCAGAGCUACUUGUCUGGAACUUUGCUUAACACCUAACACAGACAAUGAACUAAGAAGCAGCUUGGGAUUGAAAGCAUUAUCUGUGAGCUGAAUGAAAAAAAGAAAUAAAAGGAGGACAUGACUGACUCUCCUAAGAGGUUGAGGUUUUUAUUAUAGAUAUAAGAGAGAAAGCAGGUAGAGAUGGAGACAUCUGGGAGAGUCCAGACUGAGCCAGGCCAUGUGAGGAGACAGGAAGGAGAGUAAGAGAGGAGCCACUGACCAAAAAGGGCGCCCUGGGUCAAGAGACCGGCCAAGAGACACACGCUGCUUAUAAAGCAGCAAGUUAUAUAGAGGCCAAAGGAGCUGGGGGGAGUGGCCAGACCAGUAACUGGGCUGGAGAGUUCAGGGUAGUGGGCCAGGAGAGUGUGUCGACCAGGAGGACUCCUAAUAGGUAGGGACUGAGGGAUGCUGGGAGAACCUGGCCCCCAGUGUCUGCUUUGAUAUGUUAAUAGACAUCUCAAUUAGCCCUUUGUCCUGGGUUGGAGACCUAACCGGAACCAAGUGCACAGAGGUAGUGAAAGCGCCUGUGCAAUUGAGGUGCCUAAGACAGGUACAGAGACUGCCAAUCACCUCUCACACAAGGAAUUCAGUAAAGGGGAUGUUUGUUUAGUAAAUAAAUGAGUGAAAGGAGAGUAUGCAAGAGAAGCAGGAGAACCGGCCUGCAGAUGGGCCACCUUACGCGCGCACAGAUCCACCCUAGUAGACAGAAAGCCUGUUCUAUCUAGACAGCAGCUACUUCUGGGCAUCCAAGGCCCCAGCCAUCCUUUAUUUGAGCUCAGGAAGUUGGUAAUCUUAUUUGAAAGCAAGACAUGCACCCCACCCAUAACUCUGUGACAACUGAAGAACAUGUGAGCCCGGCCCCAUGAUAAUCUGAACUGUAAUGACAGUCACUGAACGCCGGACAAAGCAGAGAAAAGAGCUCGUGUUAGGUGGAGCAAUCAGGGAGGUCUUCCUGGAAGACACUGAUUUUGAGCUUCUCGACAGAAGAUAGAAGAAAACAGAAAAGUCACUACCUACUGGUCUGGAGGCAUCCUGGAGUCCCAGACCUGAAGCCUCAGUCAGAGAUCCUGAAGCAAAGGGACAUAGGUAGCCACCCAGCCCACAAUCCCGCUACCGAGUACUGUGCUGCCAGGGCAGGAGUGGUACAGAGGUCAACUGUAUACUGUUCCAGGUUCCACACAACAGUGUAUUCUGGAAUCUUGAGCUACAGUCCUGCCUGCCCCCAACCUCACUUCAACUAGGCUUCCACCUUUUCAGGAUAUAGAAUAACCAGGUAAAAUAUUGAUAAGACUAAGUAACAAGCUUACUCACACCAUUUUCCAACAAAUCAGUGAGGCAGUAAGAGGCAGUUGAAGGAACGGGACAUGCUAAGCACUCAAAUGAGCCAGAGAGUCCAAGGAGAAGGUGGCUUUAGCCGCCCAGAUUCCCAAUCAGCUUGGCUCAUGGAACUAGGUGGGACCACUCUCCCAUAACAAACAGCACACAGCACGUUUGCCUGAGAAGGAGCUGAAGAGAGUUGUCUUCUUCAGUGUUCCUCUCCUCUCUUUCCAGUGACGUGAUACAACAUAUGUGCCUCAGAGGCCAGUUUCUUGGCUCCCAGCAUCUGUCAAGACUCUGCCUCCUAAUUCUCAAACAGCACUGUAUUCACCCAAGCCUCCCCACUGAUGUGCACAGAUGCUCAGACACAUCCUGGGGCAACUUUCUGCUGUGGUCAUCAGCACUUGCAACACACCUGCGCCUUUCCACUACAAACAAUAUGCUAGAACUAAAACAACAUGGACUGAGAGUCAACAACUCAGUCCACGUCCUUUGCUAAACCCUGAAUGCUGUACACACAACAGACACAACAAACUACCACAAACUUGUUGCUUAAAUGAAUUUGAGACCAACAAGACCCUAUGGCAAAACAAUAAGAAGCCAGGUAUGGUGGUACACACCUGUAAUCCCACAAGCUGGGAGGUAGAAGCAGGGGAAUCAGAAGUUCAAGGUCACCCUUGGCCACAGAGCAAUUCCAAGGUGAGACUGUGCUAUAAGAGACUCUUUAAAAAAAAAAAAAAAGUGUGGUUGUACAACAUUGUAUUUAAUGCCACUGAACUGUCUGCUUGGGAACGGUAGAAAUGGCAAGGCAUGGCAUAGACCUUUAAACCAAGCAUUUGGAAGGCAGAGACAUGAGGGUUUCAAGCGGAGGCCACUCUGUGAUACAUGGUAAGCACUCACUUCCAAAACAUACAAAUAGUAAUAAUGGUUACACAGUAAGUUUUGUUACAAAAAUUUUGCAUAAGUAAAAUGCAUUUUGACAUUUUGGCUGUGAGCCUAGCCUUUUUUUUUUCUUUUUUCAAAUUUAUUUAUUUGUAUUCUAUGUACACUAGUGUUUUACUUGCAUCUAUGUCUAUGUGAGGGUGUUGGAUCCCCUGGAACAUGAGUUAUAGACAGUUGUGAACUGCCACGUGGGUGCUGGGAAUUGAACCAGGGACCUCAGGAAGAGCAGCCAAUGCUCUUAACCGAUGAGCCAUCUCUCCAGCCCCAAGCCUAGCCUUUUAACAGCUCUCCAACAUCUCUCCAACACUUAGAAUGCAUUUUCUGUGCCAGCAGCAAACAAACAAAAAAAAAAUCUUUGAAGACAGUUAAAGCAGCAGCAGCAGCAAAACAAAAGACCUUGUGCUGAUUCUAACCAAGAAGUUCGAGGCUCCCACAUCCACUGUGCUCUUCACAUCCCGAGGGGUGGAAUAGCCAAGGGGUCCAGCAACAGGUGCGCUUAAAACUUCGUUAUAUAUGCACAGUGAAAUGCUAUUCAGAUAUACAGGAAGGUGCACAGAACCGAAUAUUAUGCUAAGCACCAUAAGCCAGACUUGAACAAACACUACCUUUUCUUCUGUGUGAAAUCUAAACACAGGUGUGUAUACAGGAGACGGGAGCAGAAAGGGAGACCACCACUUGGGAAAAGGAAGAGGACAAAGAGAAUGGAGAGAGGCGCAGGAGAGCAGUAGGCAGCAAGAACAGAGGAGAAGUGUGACAUCUUAUGUGAGAGGCCAUCCGGAAACCCAUUACUUUCUAUGCUGACUGAAAACCCUGGAAAAUACACAAAACAUUCAGUGUUUCACCACCAGGGGGCAGAGCAGGCCAGUGUCCCCACCUGACUCCUGUUCGCAUCUCACUUCCUCUUUCUUCUUCUAAAGUUUUCAUCAUCUUUACACCUCACAUUUGUUUUCAUUCUGGGAAAAUUCGCUCCACGUUUACUGUCUUCCAUUACUGUUGUUCUGAAGAAUCCUUUUCUUUUGUUCUUAAUGGUGUCUCUCUCACUCCCGAGCUGUCAUCCUUCAAAAAUGCAAAAUUACAAUUUCAAUGGAAGACAUUUAAAAAGCUUCAUUCAUUCUCUAUGUGAGCUAUCUAGAAGAUAAAAUCCUAGAGAGAAAACAGGGUUGAGCAAGAAAAACAGAGACCUGUUGUUUAAAUGGGUAGAGACUCCCUGUUUGAGAAGUAACUGGAGGAUCCCAGCACUCUUGACCAACCAUUCAGAGAGUUCAGAGUCUCACAAAGGUGGAUGGACUGAAAGAACCAGGCGCCACAACUUUAAUCCCAGCACUCAGGAUGCAGACUCAAGCAGAUCUCUGUCAGUUCAAGGUCAGCCUGGUCUGCAUACUGAGUUCCAGGGCAACCAGGACUGUGUAGAGAAACACUAUCUUGAAGAAAAAAGAAAAAAAG